UACGGAGGGUGCAAGCGUUAUCCGGAUUUAUUGGGUUUAAAGGGUCCGCAGGCGGACCGAUAAGUCAGUGGUGAAAUCUCAUAGCUUAACUCUGAAACUGCCAUUGAUACUGCCUGGCUUGAGAGGAGUGGAGGCCGCCGGAACGGACGGUGUAGCGGUGAAAUGCAUAGAUAUCGUCCAGAACGCCGAUUGCGAAGGCGGGUGGCUGCGCUUCGUCUGACACUGAGGCACGAAAGCGUGGGGAGCGAACAGG
rnacentral:rRNA from 1 species